AAAAAAAAAUGGAAGGAAAAAAUCAGUGACAGCUACAAAUUCGAGACAAAAAAUGGAAAAUGCAAGUCACAAUGAUGUUGAUUCUCUUCGCAGAAAUAUUCAAGAGCUUAGAGAUAUUCAAAGAAGUUGUAUUGAAGAUCCAGAGUCCUGCGAUUUAGAAUUGAAGAAAUUACUGGAAGAUUCUACACUUCAAUUUAAGAGCAAAGUGGAACAAUUAUUGUAUGAUGCCUCAGAGAUCAACUUCUCGUCUGAUCAGGAUAUAGAUGAAUUUUGGGAAUAUUUGAAGAAUGAGCUAAGCACAGAGGAGGCUAAAAAUGCAAAAAUAGCAGAUGAAAUUGAGGGGCUUUCAAGGGAAUAUGUUGAAGGUUAUAGCAAAUUGGUGGACGGGAUUGAAGGCCUAAGUUGUUCUUUGGAGCUCAUUGAAUCACAGGGACUUGAACAAGGAAGAGUACUGGCAAAUUUUGCUUGUUCGACAACUGGAGAAGAUAAUGGAAACUUGUCAAAUACAUCUGUGGAAUAUAACUUUAAGAUCUUAGAAUUAGGCAAUCAGCUUGAGGAGAGCGAAAUGAAUUUGAAGUCAUUGCAAGAUCUCGAGAAUACUUUCAACAGGCUUGAGGCUAUGGAGGAGUUUGAAGAUGCAUGUUCUGGUCUUAAGAUAGUUGAAUUUGAGGGGAACUGCAUCAGAUUAUCUUUGAGAACUUCUAUCCCAAACUUAGAAAGCUUGUUGCAUAACCAAAAUAUAGUUGAUGUUGUUGAAACACCAGAGAAGAAUCAUGAGUUGUUAAUUGAACUGAUGGACGGAACCAAGGAGCUAAAACAUGCCGAGAUUUUCCCAAAUGAUGUAUAUAUAAGUGAAAUAACUGAUGCUGCAAAAUCUUUCAGACAGGCCUAUUCUGUGGCAGUUCUUGAAAAUAGAUGUUUUUUGGAGUGGUUGGUUAGAAGGGUGCAAGAUCGAAUUGUUCUUUGCACAUUAAGGCAAUUUUUGGUGAAGAGCGCAAAUAAUGCAAGGCAUUCAUUUGAAUACGUGGAUAGAGAGGAGAUGAUAGUAGCUCAUAUGAUUGGUGGAAUCGAUGCUUUCAUAAAGCCACUUCAAGGUUGGCCACUAACCAGCUCUGGUUUAACGCUGAUGUCUCUGAAGAGCUCAAGUCACUCCUCAAAAGAAAUACCUUUGACCGUCCUUUGCAAGGUUGCGGAAGUGGCAAACUCGUUGGAUACAAAUUCACGACAGACUAUCUCAGUCUUCGCGGAUAGAGUUGAAGAGAUACUUAUGCAGCAAAUGAGUGCAGUAACUUCAAACUGAAAAUAUUCCAGAAGAUGACUUCUUCCCUGCUUUGUGUCUGUAGUCUGUACUCAUUUUGAUCCCUGUUGAUUACCCGUUCGAGGUUAUUGCGACAAAUGAAACUCCAAGUACAGCAUCGGCAAGAUGUUAUAUACAUGGAAUUGAGACUCGCGACGAAAUCAUAAUGACACCAGAUCAUUAUGCUGAAUUCAUUUGGAGCAUUAUUCCUGGAGGGGAUUACACCCUUUCUUGUGACGUGAAAUUAGGGGAGAAACAUGGGUUUUCCAGUUGUUUAACUUGAAUAAUACUAACAUUUGUCACUCUUGAUGUAUUUUGUUAUUGGAAUGUACAUGAAGAUGGAUUAUGCA